UCGAGAAUCUUCCGCAAUGGACGAAAGUCUGACGGAGCGACGCCGCGUGAUUGAUGAAGCUCUUCGGAGUGUAAAGAUCUUUUAUGAGGGAAGAAGUUUAUUGACGGUACCUCAUGAAUAAGGGGCUCCUAAUCUCGUGCCAGCAGGAGCGGUAAUACGAGAGCCCCGAGCGUUAUCCGGAAUUAUUGGGCGUAAAGGGUGCGUAGGCGGUUUUGUUAGUCGUUUGUCAAAUCUCCGGGCUUAACCCGGAAACCGCGAACGAAACGGCACAACUUGAGAGUGUGAGGGGUAUAGGGAACUCAUGGUGUAGGAGUGAAAUCCGUUGAUAUCAUGGGGAACACCAAAAGCGAAGGCACUAUACUGGCACACAUCUGACGCUCAAGCACGAAAGCGUGGGUAGCGAAUGGGAUUAGAUACCCCCGUAGUCC
rnacentral:rRNA from 1 species